rnacentral:rRNA from 1 species
AGCGAACGCUUGCGGCAGGCUUAACACAUGCAAGUCGAGCGCCCCGCAAGGGGAGCGGCAGACGGGAGAGUAACACGUGGGAACGUACCUUUCAGUACGGAACAACCAAGGGAAACUUUGGCUAAUACCGUAUACGCCCGUAAGGGGAAAGAUUUAUCGCUGAAAGAUCGGCCCGCGUCUGAUUAGCUAGUUGGUGGGGUAAUGGCCCACCACGGCGACGAUCAGUAGCUGGUCUGAGAGGAUGAUCAGUCUCACUGGGUCUGAGUAACGGCCCAGACGCCUACGAGAGGCAGCAGUGGUGAAUAUUGGACAAUGGGGGAAACCCUGAUCCAGCCAUGCCGCGUGAGUGAUGAAGGCCUUAGGGUUGUAAAGCUCUGUCGUCAGGGAAGAUAAUGACGGUACCUGAAGAAGAAGCCCCGGCUAACUUCGUGCCAGCCGCCGCGGUAAAAC